UACGUAGGGGGCAAGCGUUGUCCGGAAUCAUUGGGCGUAAAGAGCGUGUAGGCGGCUCGAUAAGUCUGCUGUGAAAGUCCAGGGCUCAACCCUGGAAGGCCGGUGGAAACUGUCGGGCUAGAGUCCGGAAGAGGCGAGUGGAAUUCCCGGUGUAGCGGUGAAAUGCGCAGAUAUCAGGAGGAACACCAAUUGCGAAGGCAGCUCGCUGGGACGUUACUGACGCUGAGACGCGAAAGCGUGGGGAGCAAACAGG
rnacentral:rRNA from 1 species